UGGGGAAUAUUGCACAAUGGGCGCAAGCCUGAUGCAGCCAUGCCGCGUGUGUGAAGAAGGCCUUCGGGUUGUAAAGCACUUUCAGCGAGGAGGAAGGGUAGUGUGUUAAUAGCACAUUGCAUUGACGUUACUCGCAGAAGAAGCACCGGCUAACUCCGUGCCAGCAGCCGCGGUAAUACGGAGGGUGCAAGCGUUAAUCGGAAUUACUGGGCGUAAAGCGCACGCAGGCGGUUUGUUAAGUCAGAUGUGAAAUCCCCGCGCUUAACGUGGAACUGCAUUUGAAACUGGC
rnacentral:rRNA from 1 species